GGAGCUGUGUUUCUGUCUUUGGUUAUCUAGCUGUAUGAGUGUUAAAUACCUGUCAUAAAGCUAGAUAACCGAAAGUAGAAAU
ensembl:miRNA tni-mir-9-3 tni-mir-9-3